rnacentral:rRNA from 1 species
GACGAACGCUGGCGGCGUGCCUAAUACAUGCAAGUCGAACGCAGUGGCGCACGGGUGAGUAAUGUAUAGCUAAUCUGCCCUACACUAUAGGACAACAGUUGGAAACGGCUGCUAAUACUCUAUAGUGUAGGCUGAUGCUAUAUUGUAUCAGCUAGUUGGUGAGGUAAUGGCUCACACAGGGUAUGACGGAUAACUGGUCUGAGAGGAUGAUCAGUCAACCUGGAACUGAGACACGGUCAAGAUUCCUACGGGAGGCAGCAGUAGUGAAUAUUGCUCAAUGGGGGAAACCCUGAAGCAGCAACGCAGCGUGGAGGAUGACACUUUUCGGAGCGUAAACUCCUUUUGUUAUGGAAGCGGUACCUAACGAAUAAGCAACGGCUAACUCCGUGCCAGCAGCCGCGGUAAUUC